rnacentral:rRNA from 1 species
UACGAAGGGGGCUAGCGUUGUUCGGAAUUACUGGGCGUAAAGCGCGCGCAGGUGGUCUUUCAAGUCAGUGGUGAAAGCCCGGAGCUCAACUCCGGAAAUGCCAUUGAAACUGUAAGACUUGAGGAUGAGAGAGGUGAGUGGAAUUCCCAGUGUAGAGGUGAAAUUCGUAGAUAUUGGGAAGAACACCGGUGGCGAAGGCGGGUCUCUGGGCCGAUACUGACGCUGAGGAGCGAAAGCGUGGGGAGCGAACAGG